CAACCUGCCCUUCAGAGGGGGACAACAGUUGGAAACGACUGCUAAUACCGCAUACGAUCUAAUCUCGGCAUCGAGGAUGGAUGAAAGGUGGCCUCUACAUGUAAGCUAUCACUGAAGGAGGGGAUUGCGUCUGAUUAGCUAGUUGGAGGGGUAACGGCCCACCAAGGCGACGAUCGGUAGCCGGACUGGGAGGUUGAACGGCCACAUUGGGACUGAGACACGGCCCAG
rnacentral:rRNA from 1 species